rnacentral:rRNA from 1 species
UAAGUCUGAUGUGAAAGCCCACGGCUCAACCGUGGAGGGUCAUUGGAAACUGGGGAACUUGAGUGCAGAAGAGAAAAGCGGAAUUCACGUGUAGCGGUGAAAUGCGUAGAGAUGUGGAGGAACACCAGUGGCGAAGGCGGCUCUUUGGUCUGUAACUGACGCUGAGGCGCGAAAGCGUGGGGAGCAAACAGGAUUAGAUACCCUGGUAGUCCACGCCGUAAACGAUGAGUGGUAAGUGUUAGAGGGUUUCCGCCCUUUAGUGUUGCAGGUAACGCAUUAAGCACUCCGCCUGGGGAGUACGGUCGCAAGACUGAAAAUCAAAGGAAUUGACGGGGGCCCGCACAAGCGGUGGAGCAUGUGGUUUAAUUUGAAGCAACGCGAAGAACCUUACCAGGUCUUGACAUCCUCUGACAACUUUAGAGAUAGAGCGUUCCCCUUCGGGGGAUAGAGUGACAGGUGGUGCAUGGUUGUCGUCAGUUCGUGUCGUGAGAUGUUGGGUUAAGUCCCGCAACGAGCGCAACCCUUGAUUUUAGUUGCCAGCAUUUAGUUGGGCACUCUAAGGUGACUGCCGGUGACAAACCGGAGGAAGGUGGGGAUGACGUCAAGUCAUCAUGCCCCUUAUGACCAGGGCUACACACGUGCUACAAUGGAUGGUACAAAGGGAUGCAAGACCGCGAGGUCAAGCCAACCCCAUAAAACC